rnacentral:misc_RNA from 1 species
UUUCCGUAGGUGAACCUGCGGAAGGAUCAUUAUCGUACAAAAUGUGAGGGGCAUGCGAGGGCUGUCGCUGACCCAAAAGUCGUGCACGCCCGAGUGUAUCCUCUUGCAUAAUAAUCCAUCUCACCCUUUGUGCAUCACCGCGUGGGCACCCUUCGGGAUCAUCUCGGAGGGGGGCUCGCGUUUUCACACUAACCCCCCUUUUAAAAGUGUAGAAUGACCACAUUUAUGCAAUCAAUACAACUUUCAACAACGGAUCUCUUGGCUCUC